rnacentral:rRNA from 1 species
UACGUAGGUGGCAAGCGUUGUCCGGAUUUACUGGGCGUAAAAAGCGCGCAGGCGGUCGUUCAAGUCGAGUGUGAAAGCCCCCGGCUCAACUGGGGAGGGUCACUCGAUACUGAUCGACUCGAAGGCAGAAGAGGGAAGCGGAAUUCCCGGUGUAGUGGUGAAAUGCGUAGAUAUCGGGAGGAACACCAGUGGCGAAGGCGGCUUUCUGGUCUGCUCUUGACGCUGAGGUGCGAAAGCGUGGGGAGCAAACAGG